GAUAUUUGAAGACAUGUACAGGAGGAAGUGACUGAGUUUAGUAGGGGAAUCUGGAAGACUUCAAAGAGGAGUUGUACUUCUGAAAUAAAGCAUCAACAAUUUAAUCUGCUUCAGACUCUGUUUUCAAAAGAACCUGUGGUGUCUUCUGGUUUAAAACAUACUUAUGAACUUUAUAAUUUGAUCAAUGAACCUUCCUAUUAUUAAGGUAAGAGUGAUGAUCUCUUACAACAUUCUGUAUCCUAUUUGAAUUCAGAGUCCAAACUUUGAAUUUACUUUAAUCUCGAGCAUUGCAGAUUAUUUGCAUUCAGCCUUCAAAAGGCUAUUCAAGUUGGGGACAUCAACUUACUAAUUUGGGAGUCAAAACUGAAAAUAACUAGAGAAUUUUAGUAUAAAUGUGUUUAAAACUUAUUUUAAAAAUCGUAUCUAUCUUAUUUCUAAAUAUUGGAUAAAAUUGCCUUGGAAUUGCAUUUUUAAAUGUUCUGUUCUUUUUAACCCAGCCAUUGUUGCAUAAAUAUCCAGAAAUAUACUUUUUACCUAUUUAAAAAAAUACUGUCAGCUCUCUGUAUCCACAUGUUCUACAUUCAAACAUUCAACGAAACUUUAAUAAUGAAUAUUCAGAAACCAAACAAUAAAAAUAACAAUACAGUCAUUAGAAUAUACAAAUUAAAGACAAUGGUUAUAACAACUCUAUAAUAGUAUAAUAACUAUUCACAUAGCAUUUACAGCAUAUUAGGCUGUAAUCUAGGGAUGAUUAUCUGUAAUCUAGGGAUGAUUUAAAGUAUAUGGGAUUUUGUGCAUUGUUUAUAUGAAAAUAUGAUCUAAGGGACUUGCACACAUGCAGAUUUGUGGUAUUCAUGGGGGCUUCUAGAAGCAAUCCCCUGCAGACUGAGGGAUGAUUGUAAUUAUGAGAUGAUUUUUAACAUAUGAUAAACAUGUGUGUGUAUGUACUCGAGUAUGUGUGUAUGCACAGAAAAGUAGAAUAUCUUGCUUCCUAUUUUCUACCAGUUGGGUUUUCAGCAUAAAAACUAAGAUUAGAACAAGGUUUUCAUGUGGAAUUUCUAAUCAUUUUACAGUAAACAAAUUGGGAAAGGGAAUUGUGGUAGCCUCAAAAGUUCACAAGACUUUGAGACAAUUUGCAAAAGCACACUCAAAAUUAUUUCUAUUAGUUAUGCUCCAGAUAGCCUUUACAUAUGUGUAGCAUACCUAUUGGUUUUAACAGCAUUAUGCUCACAUUUUUUCAAAAUGGAAUAAAAUUCUGCUAUAAUCACUCUCAUACCCUGUUUUUGCUUCAAAGUGCAAAAUGGUAAUAAUUCAAAAGCAAUAAAAGGCUUUCAAACUACAGUAACAUUCAAUGAUAUACGGAGUGUUUAUCUCAUUUUUCUUUAUCCGAUGUGAAUAAUUAAUUUUAAGCCUUAAAUAUGGGAGCAGGAAGAACUCUUUAAAUAAAGGAAAUCAAAACUAGCUACUAGAAUCACGACUUGGAACUCAGAUAAUUAGUUGACUGCUGCUGCCUAAUUUCAUAAUUGUGAAGGCAAUGGCACUGAUAACAGUUGCAAAACAUUCACAACUUAAAUUAAUUACUGAAAUGCAAUUGAUAGAAUGAGGAGAGUGUAUUGUUUAUACUGUCUUUCUUUUUUUCUGCCAGGAAAAAAGCCAGGGAUCUGGGCUUAGACAGAAAGAAAGAACAUAAACACAAUUGAGACAAAAUGGUUUUUAUUAGAUGGUGGACAUAUUCUACUUCCAAUACAUUCUGUCAAAAAACAAAACAAAAAAUCCCCUCAAACGAGAGAAGGUAUAAGUACGGUUGGGAACCCUUAGUGAUUCCCAAAGAUUUAAGAAAACUGCUGGGCUAUGGUAUUUAUUUCUUGCCUUUGUAAGUUUUUAUCUGUCUUAAUAUAAUAUUCAGACCUUUUGAUAAGGCAUGCUACUUUGAAUCAGAUUUAGGUGGUGAGAAGUGGUAGAGGUGAGAAAAUUAGAACAAAAAUACAUAUCUCCAUUUUGAUGAUUAUUUUUCUGAGUAUAAUGAGUAUAAAUUUUAUUCAAAUUAAUCAUGAAGGAUGGAGUAACUUACUGUGGAAAAUUUUUUUAUAGAUGUUGUACAUUUAAUGUAGUCUUUGUGCUCAUGGUUAAGAUACACUUUAAGGAUUUUGGCGAUUCUCAAAAGAUCUAAUUUCUGUGCAGCAAAGAAAACCUUGAUUACAAUAAAAAUAUACAUUCUUUUUCUGACUUUCCCUUGGGCUUGCUACAAUUUCUAUGACAAGGAAGAUGUGUCUGAUGAGUCCCCUAAAGCCCACCUUAGGUGAGUCUGCACUGAUAACAAUGACCUUGCCACGGACCCUUUUUCUUAUGCAGGGUCCUGUUAUUAUCUUAUCCUCUUAGAAUACAGACUUUUUUUUAAUUGUACUUUAGGUUCUGGGGUACAUGUACAGAUCAUGAAGGAUUGUUG